UGUGUGAUCAGCCCCAGUGUCAGUG
rnacentral:misc_RNA from 1 species